rnacentral:rRNA from 1 species
UACGUAGGGGGCGAGCGUUCGUCCGGAUUUAUUGGGCGUAAAGAGCGUGUAGGCGGCCAGGUAGGUCCGUUGUGAAAACUCGAGGCUCAACCUCGAGACGUCGAUGGAAACCAUCUGGCUAGAGUCCGGAAGAGGAGAGUGGAAUUCCUGGUGUAGCGGUGAAAUGCGCAGAUAUCAGGAAGAACACCUAUGGCGAAGGCAGCUCUCUGGGACGGUACUGACGCUGAGACGCGAAAGCGUGGGGAGCGAACAGG